rnacentral:rRNA from 1 species
GACGAACGCUGGCGGCGUGCUUAACACAUGCCAGUCGAACGGAAAGGCCCUUCGGGGUACUCGAGUGGCGAACGGGUGAGUAACACGUGGGUGAUCUGCCCUGCACUUUGGGAUAAGCCUGGGAAACUGGGUCUAAUACCGAAUAGGACCACGCGCUUCAUGGUGUGUGGUGGAAAGCUUUUGCGGUGUGGGAUGGGCCCGCGGCCUAUCAGCUUGUUGGUGGGGUAAUGGCCUACCAAGGCGACGACGGGUAGCCGGCCUGAGAGGGUGACCGGCCACACUGGGCCUAGGAUACGGCGCGGAGUCCUACGGGGGGCAGCAGUGGAGAAUAUUGCACAAUGGGCGCGAGCCUGAGGCAGCGACGCCGCGUGAGGGAUGACGGCCUUCGGGUUGUAAACCUCUUUCACCGGAGACGAAGCGUAAGUGACGGUACCUGGAGAAGAAGCACCGGCCAACUACGUG